UAGCUGGUACGGCAUGGCUGGGUUUUACCUACUGCAAUAACACGAAAGUGAAGCCCCAGGGAUGCGAGAGCAGAGCAGCUGUGUGGCAGGACACGGGGCUCGACACAGAGCAUGCCUGGAAGAACUGCACCCCGCAUGUUUUCUCCUGCUGGAGACUUCCAUGCUGUAAGCUUUGCCUGUGACAAAGUUGGCAAGAUCACUGGCUGAGGUACCUUAUGGGAAUGAGCACCCCAAGCUCCACUGUUGACUUUCCUCUUUGAGCUGGGUUGGAGUACAGGUUCUUCAAAUGAUAAAAUCCAAAGUCAUAAUUGAAAAAGAAGUGGCCUACGUCAACCCAACUAACAGAUGUAGUUGUGUGACUGCUAGGCUGAGUGGUGAUUUUCCCUGUUGUGUUGCAUGAACUACUGCUUUCCUACAGUAACAACAGAUUUAAUAAGAUCCAAUCAACCAUUUUGGGGGAAUAUUUUUACAUAAGUUCAUCCACCUGCUGGUAUGGCAGAGACUAUGGUACUGUGUUUACAGCUGGUAGUCUUCACCGAUCCCGUGGGUUCUUCAGCUCUGCUUUCAGGAGAUAACAUUCAGGUGCUCAGGAUGCAUUUCUGAAGCUGGUUGCAGCAAAUGUAUCCGUUCAUUACACCGGGCGCUUACAUGCAAAAACAGCUGUAAUUCAGAUUGGGUAACUGCACACGGAGUACUGAUUUGUGCAGCUAGAUAACUGUGGGCAAAUAUAUGGGCGUAAGCUAGCAUGAAUUUACAGAUGGCAUGUAUGUGCUACCCCUCAGGACUCCACCCCUCAUCUUUCAUGUACAAAGCAAACGUAAGAGUCACGUACUGAUGAUGACCCUGGAUGAGGAGCAGUUUUAUAACACAGCAAACCAACAGGUAGUCUUCAGGCAUUCAGGACCACGUUCCUCAGGGCGGGGAAGUAUUUCUGCCACACUAAUACAUGAUGGGUGUGCUUGUUGAUCAGGCUGAGGCCAUUCUCAAACCUAGACUGGACCACUGCAUUUGUUGUUUGCACAAAAGCUGAGUAUGAGGCUGAGUUUGAAGCUUGCUCGUGGGAAAGAUCCGAAGUACAUUGAUGCUUAACCUCAAGCCAUGGUUUUGGUGAGAAAAUAGCCCCUCAUUCUGUCUGCAAUGUCUCCACUCUCUUAUAAAUAACGGUAGUGUUUUAUUCACAGAAAGGGAAAAAAUACAAAGCACCGAACCCAAGACGGACUAUGUUGCCCCCUAUUGUGGUGUUAACUAGAUUAGGCUAAUCUGUUUUCAGCUGAUAAUUUAAGCUUUAGGCUUGGAAAAUGCAGUAACAGUUACAUGUUUGAACAUAACAAGAGGAGCAUAUUAAAAAGCCUUAUCAAAAUUCCACAUUAAUAAAGCAAGCUAUCAGUGCAUCAGAGAACUGAAGAGUUUCCAUGUGCAAGCAUGCAAACAUAGUAAUAGAUUCCUUCUAAGGUCUUUAAUCCUCAGUAGCUACUGUUGGAAAAAUUCAGACUUCCCCCCUAGAACAGGAAAUUAAAUCUCAAAAAAAGUAUAUCCCUCAUGUUCUGACCAGUUUGACUAUUCAGUAACUUAUAUGUCAUAUUUAUUUUGAAAAGCAACUUUUUCAUAUAGUUCUGCUACAGAUGCAGUGUGUAAAGAGAUUUCACUGCUUAAACCUUAA